UGAAUACGAGACGCUACGGCGUCGAAGCAGUCUAUGUCAUACUUCCAAGAAAAGCUUGCACUGUCAUAAACAAAUAAUGCCUGUACCAUAACCGACACAGGUGGGUAGGUAGAGUAUACUAAGGGGCGCGAGAUAACUCUCUCUAAGGAACUCGGCAAAAUGACUCCGUAACUUCGGGAGAAGGAGUGCCUUAUUUAUAAGGUUGCAAUAACAAGAUCCAAGCAACUGUUUAUCAAAAACACAGGUCUCCGCUAAGUCGUAAGACGAUGUAUGGGGGCUGACGCCUGCCCAGUGCCAGAAGGUUAAAGAAGUUGGUUAGCAUUAGCGAAGCUGAUAACUGAAGCCCUGGUGAACGGCGGCCGUAACAAUAACGGUCCUAAGGUGGCGAAAUUCCUUGUCGGGUAAGUUCCGACCCGCACGAAAGGCGUAAUGAUUUGGAUACUGUCUCGGAGAGGGGCUCGGUGAAAUAGACUUGUCUGUGAAGAUGCGGACUACCUGCACCUGGACAGAAAGACCCUAUGAAGCUUUACUGUAACCUGAAAUUGAAAUUGGACUUUAUUUGCGCAGUAUAGGUGGGAGGCGUUGAGAAUAUUCUUGCGGGAAUAUUGGAGCCAUCAGUGAGAUACCACUCUUGUAAUGUUAGAUUUCUAACUUUGAAUCAUUAUCUGGUCAAAGAACAGUUUCAGGCGGGCAGUUUGACUGGGGCGGUCGCCUCCUAAAUGGUAACGGAGGCGCACAAAGGUUUCCUCUGAACGGGUAGAAAUCGUAUCUAGAGUGUAAAGGCAUAAGGAAGCUUGACUGUGAGACCUACAAGUCGAGCAGGGACGAAAGUCGGUCUUAGUGAUCUGACGGUGCUGAGUGGAAAGGCCGUCACUCAACGGAUAAAAGUUACUCUAGGAUAACAGGCUGAUCUCCCCCAAGAGUUCACAUCGACGGGGAGGUUUGGCACCUCGAUGUCGGCUCAUCGCAUCCUGGGGCGGUAGUACGUCCCAAGGGUUGGGCUGUUCGCCCAUGAAAGCGGUACGCGAGCUGGGUUCAGAACGUCGUGAGACAGUUCGGUCCAUAUCCGGUGUAGGCGUUAGAAUAUUGAGAGGAGCCUUCUUUAGUACGAGAGGACCGAGAAGGACAUACCUCUGGUGUACCAGUUAUCGUGCCAACGGUAAACGCUGGGUAGCUAUGUAUGGAGAGGAUAACCGCUGAAAGCAUCUAAGUGGGAAGCCCACCUCAAGAUAAGUAUUCU
rnacentral:rRNA from 1 species